GAGUAUGUACAAAGAUCCAAUAUGGCGGACGGCAAGGGAGAAACGAAUUCGUGGAAGGAGGUUAAAAUGCUACGUUUCUGAAAUGAUCAAAUCUAAGACAUCCUGAAACUCAAAAUUGUCCCUUACAAGCAAAGCUGACAAAACAGGCUUGGCUUUUAGUUUAUUUCAUGUUGGUAUUGUUGCCGCUCCUCUCUCUCUGCCGUCG